ACUUCUUUUUUCAGCAGUAACGCUUUUCCUUCUGUGUUUUAUCCUCUAGUUGUUACUUUCCUUCCUUCCAGUGGAGGGGCAGCAAGAGCCAUUUGGCUGAUACGAUGUUUUUCUGGGAAGGAAAGGAUAAGACUUAAAAAAACCAGGAUGCCUUCAGGCAAAAUGUGAUUUUUCAAUCAAAAUUCUUUUUCUUAAGGGAGGGGAUUUUUCUCACAAGGGAGAGAAUUUGCCCCAACAGAGCAGUUUUACCCACACUCCUCUGAGACACAGCGUCUGUGUGCUGUCAGUGUCAGGGAGGAUCAGGCACAGAACGACCCAUUGCCAUCAUAAAACAAUCCAGCUUCCCAGAGGGAGAGGAAGAGAAAGGGGUUGCGUGUGGCCUUGAAAACCAGAAGGAAAAGGAGAAGAGGAAGUGCCUGGUUGUUCCUGUCUUGGUGGGGAGCGUUGUGGGGUCCCUGGCGACUGUGUGACCAGCAAACACCCUUGCUGAGAACUGCAGACCAGGCCAUUUGCAAGAGCAGCUCCGUGCCUGCAGCAGCUGCGUCUUGUGGGGGGGUAAAUGCUAGAGAAGAGCUGGGCCUGUGGAGCUGUGUUAACUGGCAUUUCAAAGGGUCCAGCAAGUCCAUCUACUUGUUAGACCUGAUUUGGUGUCCACUGGAGCCAAUGGAAAUACAUCUAUCAGCUUCAAAGAAUUCCCUUGCUGUCUGAUUGAAUUACCCUGCAGAAGUCAGCUUCCAAAUAUUAGCCAGCUAGUAUGGUACGCUUUGAGAUGGAUUGUGAUGAAAAGCACCUCUGCUCUGUCAGUCAGAACAUUUACUGUGGUUGUAGGGGACAAAGAAGCACCAAAAAUGAUGAGGUCUGCUCAGCACCCAGUGAGCCCUAGAGGUGAGACUCCGUGAGGGCUCUGUUUUCUAGAAAAAUAAUAGAAGAGCUUGAAAAUAUUGAUUAUAAAAUAAUGAGAUUUUCACGUGUUCCUGAGCAAGUUUCACCUGCUGAUUUUUGGAAGAAGUAACCAGGUACUUUGAUAGUCUCAACAUAUAUUUCUCAGUCUAUUCAGACAUCCAGAUGACUUUAAAAAAACCUAUCCCUACACUUCAGUGCUAUGUGGGAGUUAAAACUUACAUAGAUAUGUCUGUUGACCUUUUCCUGAAAACUCUAAAAUUCAGCAAUGUUGUUUUUUUUACAUUGCUUUUCAAAACUUGAAGUUCCAUGAAGAAGAGAAAAGGAAAAGGAAGAGAAAAAAAUCUUAACCUCAAGUGUAAAGCAGAAAGAUCACAGAAAUCCUUAACGAUGUGGCCAGCACCUCAGUAAUGUCACCUAAAUGUGACAUACCUAGUCAAAGUUUGACCAGUUAUGUGCAGUCUUAUGGU
rnacentral:lncRNA from 1 species